rnacentral:ncRNA from 2 species
UGCAUCUUGCGCGGGUCUGGUGCCCGCCUGUCGGGAGAAUCGGGAAGCCGGUGAAAUUCCGGCACGUGCCCAACGCUGUAAGGGUGAUGGCCUGCUGCACAUGCCACUGGAUCACUCCGGGAAGGCGCGCAAGCCAGAGGACCCCAAGUCAGAAGACCGGCCAGACAGCACGGUGUGCC